rnacentral:rRNA from 1 species
GACGAACGCUGGCGGCGUGCUUAACACAUGCAAGUCGAACGGAAAGGCCCCUUUGGGGGUACUCGAGUGGCGCACGGGUGAGUAACACGUGAGUAACCUGCCCUUGACUUCGGGAUAACUUCAGGAAACUGGGGCUAAUACCGGAUAGGAAUCCUUGCUGCAUGGUGGGGGUUGGAAAGCUUCGGCGGUUUUGGAUGGACUCGCGGCUUAUCAGCUUGUUGGUGGGGUAGUGGCUUACCAAGGCUUUGACGGGUAGCCGGCCUGAGAGGGCGACCGGCCACAGUGGGACUGAGAUACGGCCCAGACUCCUACGGGAGGGAGCAGUGGGGAAUAUUGCACAAUGGGCGGAAGCCUGAUGCAGCAACGCCGCGGGCGGGAUGACGGCCUUCGGGUUGUAAACCGCUUUCAGCAGGGGCGAAGCUUGUGGUGACGGUACCUGCAGAAGAAGCACCGGCUAACUACGUG